CUACUUACCUGCCAGGUGAGAUACUACGAUCAUGAAGGUGCUUCUCCCAGGGCAAGGCUCACCCUUGCUGCUCCUGCGAUUUCCUGGGUGUGCUGCUCCUGCGAUUUCCCCAAAUGUGGGAAACUUGACUGUAUAAUUUGUGUUUCCCCUGGUCGGCUCUGGU